AUUGAACGCUGGCGGCAGGCUUAACACAUGCAAGUCGAACGAGGGGCGGACGGGUGAGUAAUGCUUGGGAAUCUAGCUUAUGGAGGGGGAUAACUACGGGAAACUGUAGCUAAUACCGCGUACCAUAGGGUGAGCCCAAGUGGGAGUAGGUAGUUGGGGAGGUAAAGGCUCACCAAGCCGACGAUCUCUAGCUGGUCUGAGAGGAUGACCGGCCACACUGGGACUGAGACACGGCCCAGACUCCUACGGGAGGCAGCAGUGGGGAAUAUUGCGCAAGGGGGGAAACCUGACGCAGCCAUGCCGCGUGAAUGAAGAAGGCCUUCGGGUUGUAAAGUUCUUUCGGUAGGGAGGCGUUAACUAAAGAGGAAGCACCGGCUAACUCCGUGCCAGCAGCCGCGGUAAUAC
rnacentral:rRNA from 1 species